UACGGAGGGGGCUAGCGUUGUUCGGAAUUACUGGGCGUAAAGCGCACGUAGGCGGCUUUGUAAGUUAGAGGUGAAAGCCCGGGGCUCAACCCCGGAAUAGCCUUUAAGACUACAUCGCUUGAACACGGGAGAGGUGAGUGGAAUUCCGAGUGUAGAGGUGAAAUUCGUAGAUAUUCGGAAGAACACCAGUGGCGAAGGCGGCUCACUGGACCGUUGUUGACGCUGAGGUGCGAAAGCGUGGGGAGCAAACAGG
rnacentral:rRNA from 1 species